AGGAACAACGCUGGCGGCGUGCCUAACGCAUGCAAGUCGGGCGGGCGCCUCCUUCGGGGGGUGUCAGCGGCGGACGGGUGAGGAGCGCGUGGGCAACCUGCCCCGAAGUGGGGGACAACUCCGGGAAACCGGGGCUGAUACCGCAUGUGGUCGGUCCCUUGACGGGGAUUGAGCAAAGCCCUCGGGCGCUUCGGGAGGGGCCUGCGUCCGAUUAGCUGGUUGGCGGGGUGACGGCCCACCAAGGCGACGAUCGGUAGCUGGUCUGAGAGGACGACCAGCCACAGGGGGAACUGAGACACGGUCCCCACACCUACGGGUGGCAGCAGCGAGGGAUUUUCGGCAAUGGGCGCAAGCCUGACCGAGCAACGCCGCGUGCGGGACGACGCCCUUCGGGGUGUAAACCGCUUUUCGGUGGGACGAUGAUGACGGUACCACCGGAAUAAGCCUCGGCUAACUACGUGCCAGCAGCCGC
rnacentral:rRNA from 1 species